CUCUAGGUAUCCUGACUGCGCAGGUGUGAGGGGGGUGUUACCAUGAAUACCAGAGCUCACUGAAAGAGCCCUUUUCACCAUCCUGGAUGAGGACGAGAUCUGCUUGAAAUGACAGUGCUGCCCACACACUCCAGGCAUUCAAAAGCAGAUGAACUGGUGUGCUGCCAACUAUCAUUCAUCAUGACAAUUGUGGGGCACACCUACGUUGGCAGUGGUGCUGGUGGCUCUUUUGAAGUAUCACACAGGAGCCCUGUAGGGGACGAUCAAUUGAGUGGUUAAGGAUAAGGAAGCACCCCACCCUAAAUGCUGGUUCCAAAAUGAGUAAUGAAGAUGAGACAGGCUUUCUGGACUACAUCUGAAAUAAAGAUCCAACUUCCUUCAGUCAAAUAAGACUUUCUACUUUGGUGCUGAGAAUCCUUAAAGAUAGUGAACAGACACCUCUUCCAGAGAACUACAGGGAGGCUGAGUGGUGACAGCGAUCUGAGAGGUCCAGGCUGACAUUCCAGACUGAAAGCAGUGGAAGAGUAGCUCCAACGUGGAUCUCCUGACUCGCUGCCAUCAAUCAGUCUCUAGCCAGCUGCUGCCCUUGUUUUCUUGCCUGUGCUCAGGCAGUAAUAACCAAGCAACUUUCCUGGAUGUGGUGGUCUACCACCGUAAUGAUGAGUUUUAUUGUGAACAAAAGAGAAGUUCCCUAAUAUUCUGAGAUCUCGUCAUUAGCAGCAAACAUUUAUGGGAUAUCUGCUACAGGGAAAAUCUGAGUACAGUGGGACAAGCUUUCUCAAGAGUUUGGGCCUAGAGCUGAUGGCAGACAAUGUCAACAACUAACAACAUAGCUCAGGCUCGGAAGCUGGUGGAACAGCUCCGCAUCGAGGCUGGAGUGGAGAGGAUCAAGGUCUCCAAAGCCUCCUCCGAGCUCAUGAGUUACUGUGAACAGCACGCCCGGAAUGACCCCUUGCUGGUGGGAGUGCCUGCCUCAGAGAACCCCUUCAAGGACAAAAAGCCUUGUAUCAUUCUAUAGCUCCAUCCUCCUGUGCAUACAGAGCCUCUCUCCCUGGAAGGGCCAUCCCCAUUCAAUGCCGAUCUCAAGCCAAACCUGUCCUAAGUCACAAAAACUCUCGACGGCCAAAACCAUCCCCAGCACCAUUGCGGUCACCCCCACCACCAUGAGGAGGGGCGAACACUAUGCUUUGUGUUCGGGUGGAAAAUCAAAUCCAGUGUACCCACAAGGCGGGGUCAGCCUACCAAUUUGAAGCAGUCUAAAUGUCCUUGAGAGGAAGGGGGUAGGGGCAGGGUUUUGGUUUUUUUUUUUUUUAAGAUACUCUAGUGCCAUUUAAAUAGUGGUUUCAAAAUAAGAGUGGGUGGAGAGACAGGGGGGAGACCUAGGAUGUCUGCCAGUUAUUAGAGAGCCCUCCCAUCAAGGUCAAAGUGAACCUAGAUUGUAAUUCUUCCUAGAUUGGCCUGCCAUUCAGAGACUUGGGUUAGAUUGGCAGGAGUUCAGAGUUAAAGGAAUUGCUCAUUCUUUUAAAAAAGAAACCUACUCUUUCAUUUAAAAAAGAAAAAACAUAUGGAAAUUAUGCAUUGCUAAAAGGGGACCAGGGGAGGAUAUUUUGACAACAGUAUCAUAUAAACGGAUAAUGAAGGCAUGGAUGGGGGAGGGAGAAAGGGAGGGGGAGAGGGAGGCAGAGGGCAUAGGGAAGGGAAGUCAUCCAUGGAUCAGAGCAUGCAUUUCCCAUCUCACAGAACAUAUGGCAUUUGUAUCUUCACCACCACAUUGUGGGCAGCACUCUCUGUAUAGCUCGCCAGCCAUUAAGGGAAUUAGUUGACAGUGGCUUGAACUGGGGAGUGCCCAUCUCCUUGCAUUGCCAAUUUGGGAAGGGUGGGGGGUGGGGGAGGGGUAUUGGGGGGAAGCAUGAAGUAUAGAUGUGGGUAUUUGAAAUCUUUGAUUCCAUCCUAGCUCUUUAAUUUCUGUGUAUUGUUGCCUGAGAGGAGGGCUCAGGAUGAAUCCUUUGGUCUUGUCUUCUGAGAAUUGGGGGUGGGAGUGGGGUCAGAAUUGCUUUUUGCUUCUGAGGAUAAGGGCAUUUGAAAGUUAUUCAUUUGUUGUUGUUAUUGGGUUUUUUUUUAAUUAACUGUAUAGCUUAAUCCUUUUUUUUAAACUCCUGCCCACUUAAGAGAUGAUUCUUUGUCAAAGACACUAAAAUAAGUGCCCCCCAAGGUUCCUCGGUUUCCUUUCUCCAGGAACAAAAUGUGCCCACCUACCCCUUUAAAUCCCAGAAAGAUGGAGCUUAAGUCAAUUCAGUUCAAUCCUACAGCCAAUUAUUAAAUACUACAUGCCAGCUCUUGUACUAAAUGCCAGGUAGAGUUUAAGGCACACACUAAAAUAAAAAGAAAUUGACCCUGUCCUCCUGAAGUUUAAAAUCCUAUAGAGGAGGCAAAACUCUUGCACAAAUAACAGCAACAUAAAUUGGAAUAAAAGAAGCCAAAGGAGACGUUCCUCUCCGGUGCUGGAGUAUCUCAGAGGAUGUUGAGGGAUAGUAAAUGCUGAAUUUUCUUCUGUGGGAAGUCAGGAAAAGCUUCAGGAGGCAGGAGGUUCUGCCUGAGUCAGGCUUUAAAGAAAAGACAGAGGGAUGAUGAAAUAUUGUUAGAGCUAGAAUGCUGAGCUUCCCUGACCCUCGUGGCCAAUGAAGAGAAAUUCUCUUCCUCCUCACUAAGAAUGACCCAACAGGCUAGAAAUACCCAGUGGGGCAACCCCCUUUUACCUUAUUUGCUGCUAUUACUGGCAGCCUAUAACAAAGCAGAGAAAGUCCCUCCUCUGCUGUAUCAUAGAAUUUGGAGUUGAGACUUUAAAGAUAAACUAGUCCAAUUGUCCCAUUUUCAAUUGAGGUCUCCAGAAUCAAGUGACUUUCUACAAGGUCACACAAUGACAGAGCUGGUAUUGAAACCCCGCUUAAGGUUUAUUGUCCACAGUAGUCCUCUGGGAGUUGCAUGUAAACUGAGGGCCUGGGGAAGAAUAGAGUUCAGGGAAGCCUCUCCCUCCCCAUUCAGCAACCAAAUCUCUUUGCUCAGUAGCAAGGCCAUGGCCUCUUAGCCAGACAAAAGCCAGAUUCUAGAUGACUGAAUUCAUAGUAUCAGAUAGAUACUAAGAGACCUUAGAGAUCUUAUUCCUCCAAGUGAUUCCCCUGUCCACAAAACUUAUUACCAAGGGACCUUGACCUUAUCUUGAAACCUAUAAGUAAAAGCAGUGACUCGUCCUCUUUUCCUCACUCAAGUUCCUUCCUCCUGAGCUUUGAUGUUCUAAAGAUGCAGAAUUUGGAGCCAAGAUAGAUUUUAGGAUUUGCUGCUGGAAGGGACCUCCAGAUCAUCUAAUCCAUGUCACAAAAGUUAAAAAUGCGGCUCAGAGAGAUUAAGGAAGUUAAUCCAGUGUCACACAUGUCUGGGAAGUGGCAAAGCCAAGGUUUCAACCCAAGUCUUCUGACUACAAAUUUUCACUGCCUGUGAAAGAGAUUUUACGAAUUUACAGAAAAGCUUGGGUUAAGGCUAAUCUAGUCCAAUCCCCUCAUUUUAUAGAAGAAAUUUGAGGUGGGGAAGGGACUUGCACAAGGUCAUUAAGUGGCAGAACCAAAACUUUAGAAAUCUGCUCUUUCUACAUUGUUAAGGCAAAGAACCUUCCCACUGGGAUAAUUGGGCCAAAUUCCCAGAUGAAUUUACCUAGAACAGCCCUAGGAAUCACGUAGCAAAGAGUACCCAGCUGUCCAGCAGCAUGAUUUCCAAGGGACAACAUUGAGCUGGGAUUUGGGAGAGAAAAUUACAAUCCUAGGCCCCAUUUACUUACUAGCUAGAACAGCCAUUGUGUUGAGUGGAGGGUACCACAAUUUCCCUACCCUUUAUCUGUGAGAUAAAUAAGUGUGACUAGUGCUAACCGGCUUUGGACUCUUGUCCACCCUCCGCUUGAGUGUUCUGGCAGUCCUCUCAGCCAGAGCACCAAACACACCUUCUCCUUGGCCCCUUCCUGCUUUAAGAAAGGGAAAAUCCAAAGGAUCCCUGCUUCAUUCCACUUCAGCUUCAUCAUAGGAUCUCAAGUUGAAAAGGACCCUAAUGUUCAUUGAAUCUAAACCUUUCAUGUUAUUUAGAUAAGGAAACUGCAGUCCAGUGAAAAAGAUGAUUUGCCCAAGAUUAUUGAGAGUCUGGAUUCAGACCAGUCCUCUGAUGUUAAAUCUAAGGUUUUUAAGAACCUUAAGGUGUCUGGGUCCCAGUGGUCCCAAGGACCAUUUUUAGGGAUAUUUAAAAGACUUAAUGGUGGCAAAUACUGCAUGCUCUUUUAACUGCCAGCUGAGUGUGAGACUAUUUACAAGAUGACUCACCUUCCCCUCCGUUACUAGUUUAGGAACUUCCCAGAUCAUAUCCUUCAGGCCACAAACCCGUCCUUAGGGCCCCCUCAAGGUCUAGCCUUUAAGAGUGCCAGAACACAGGCCAAGGAUAAGGAAAAGAUGACUGAAGAAAAAGGGUAAGUCAAGUCCUCCAGGAUCUACAGCUGGAGAGGGGACAUUUGUCAGAAAUACAGCUUGUGAAGACCCCCAUCUCCCCAUAUAUUCCAAAGAUGGCUCCGUAGAUCUGUCUUUAAUUCCUCCAUCUUAGUAGCACUGUGAAACUUUAGAAAUAAAAAAAUGAGACUUCCCCUCUGUCUGGCCUUGAAAAAAGCAAAAUAAGUGCUGAGUAUGUUUCUCUGGUAGAAACUUUAAAUAUCAUCAAAUCCAAACCCUCUUGUUUUGCUUGAAGGGAAAUUGAGGCCUGAAAAAGGAAUAUAAUUUGUCCAAGAUCUCACAAGCAGUUAGUGGCAAAUCUAAAACUAGGACCUAGAGGGUCAGGCUCUUUCAGCAAAAGUCCUAGAUCACUUGCACCCUCCUCCCUGAAGCACUGGCUCAUCCCAGAUAUUCAGCUCUGCUAUGGACCUGGCUGGGCAUUUACAUACAGGUUUCUGGGCCAUAGGUGAGACCUUCUCUCUAGAUCCUUUUGAUUUCUCAGUAUUGCAGUAGAUCUUGUUUACCUUCCUCCAGAAAAUACAUUUUGUUUUGCCAACUCUCAGGGCACUGCCCCCACUUUUUCUCCUGCCCAGGAGUGGGCAGCUGUGCCAAAUCUGAAAGGGAAUCCCUUCAUAGCAGAGCCCUGGCUAAUAGCUGACCUCUGUCCAAGUGCCAGUGACAUCAUCCUGAUUAUCCAGGAGAUGAAACCUAACCAGUUAAUUUACAAUGAGGGGGUUGGACUAGAUAAUCUAAGGGCCCUUCCAGCUCUUUUAUAAUCUUAGAAUGCAAUUCUGAGGGACCUUGGCAGAAAAAAAAUAUAUAUAUCCAAAAGUUGUCAUGAGCCAGGCUUUAGCCUCAAGAAAUUGUGAUAGCUUAUGGACACCAUUCAGUUCAAAUCUAGCUUCUCUUGGGCUCCCACAUUCCUGACCUGCCCCUAUUUGUGCUCUGCCUAUUUUGCUCCAAUAUUCCUAGAUAUAGAGGAGAAAGCAGGUCAGGCUUUGGAGAAGGACAGAGUCCGACAGCCUCCCUGGGAACUUUUGGCAAGUGAAUGCCAGCCACCCCACUAAAAAUAAAGGACUCAAUUUCCCUAAGAUGAGUUUAUUUCUCCUAGAGAAGAAAUUAGUCUCAUGAUGACACUAGGCAGAGUACAGAGGUAGCCUAGGUAUCCAUGGAGACCCGGUUUCUAUUCUCCAAAUAGCCAAAUACCAAUAUUUAGAUGCCAAUAUUAAAACAACCAAUUAAGCUCCUGUAGUAUACAGAGUGUUGUGUUCUAGACUGGAAGCACAAUUUGGAUGAGAUGUAGUCACUGUCCUUGCAGAGUGAGUAUUUGUCUGCUUUUAUGAGUUCUUCUAGAGGAGUAAUCAGAGCUGGGAAGACUAAGCAGUUUUUGUCUCUGACAAACCUGCUCCACACUCUUAGCUUCACAUCCUACUUUCUCCACUGACUUUUCCUUCCCUGGCUUCUUGGAUGCUGCCCUAUGAGUCUGCAGCUGCCCUUUCCCACCUCUCAUCCAGGUCAGAAAUCCUCCUUAGAGAUUGCUUGCUCAGCCUCUCCAUAACUAGAUGAUGAAAUGGGAUCCCAAAGUCAGUGGGAGAACUAAGACUCCCUCAUGGGUCUCCAGCCUCUCAGCCCAUGAUAGGGGGCACUUCAUAGUAUUUUGUUACCCAUCUUCUCCUCCAGUAACCCUUCCCUCUUUGUUAGCUGCUUCUCCCUCAUCCCCUGUGCCCACUAUCAGGCCUGGGGUGGGGAGAGGCGAGUUGAGGAAAGUCAGGGAGUCAUGGCGCCUGUGCUCAAACCUGGAGGAGACAAGAAGGUGGUCACUCACUUUCUACAAAGAAAAAUCGUCGAUUUUUAUUCUUCUCUUAACAAUGUUCAUACAGUAGAUGAGAUGUUUUUGUUUAGGAUAAACAUAAAUACAAAUAACAGUUACUGCUUGUACUUUUCUGUCUGUGCAUUUGCCAAAAAGAAAAAUACUUUCUUUAGGACUUUUAAGUGCUCUCUACAAGGCAAGGAGGUAGCUUCUCUCCUGCUUCCAGUGGCAGUGGCAGCAGGUGGCCUAGGCCAAGCCCGAACCUUGGGACUAUUUGAGAGCAGCCAGCCAGCUUCUGAAGGUGUUAGCAAGAAUUGGGAAAAAGGAACUGAAAGCAGGGCAUGGAAAUGGGAAAUGGAAUUUCCAUUGCAUCUGCAAAGCCAUUCACUUUUUUCCGUGGCUAGAGAGGAUGGAGGGGCCCUGGAGCACUAGGAUUUCCACCUGCCCUGGCCUAAACAGGCUCUCACCCAGACCCACCUGGGAACCUGCAGAAAGGUUAAUCCCAUGUGAUUGUAGGGUGAUGUAAUCUCUCCUCCUCAAGAUGGCCUGGCCUAGAGUGAGAUUGCCGCCAACUCCCCUCCCCCAACCAGCAACCCCUGAGCCGAAGAAUGCCCCUGGGUCAUGACCUUUGACUCCAGGGAUGGAAGCUUCUGAGGCCUGCUCUGCAGCAGAAGGGGCUGCCUUUUGUCCUUCAGUCCCAAAGUCCUCAGAAAUGGGGCCUCCAGGCAACUCCUCCAUCUCCUUCACAGCCUAAUUCCCCGGGCCCUUGCCUUCUGGAAGGCCAGACUGGCCGAGCUCAGCCCCUGAGGAGUUUCCAAACUAGGUAAACACACCGUGGCUCCCCCUCAAGGAGCACUUGGCCAGGAAGUGGACAGAGCAUUUAACUCCCUGAGAAGAUGUGUGGAACAUUUUCCUUUCUUCUUUCUUUGCCAACUGAUACCAUUGCCAAACACCCAUGGAGUUUAAGGGAGACGGUUUCAGGAAGUGUUCUCGAGGGCUAGCAAGGCGCCCAGCUGCCCUGGGAACACGCCGAGUUAGAGGGGGACUCCAGGUGUGCCAUCAGCUACUCUCGCACAGUGUUGACUGUUUUGUGGAACUGUUGUUACAAAGUGAAUUGAUACCACAAUAAAAACAAAAAAAGGCUUACUUU
ensembl:lncRNA